UACCCUGGCACAUGCUUUGUCCAAUGGACCAUGGAAGGGACUUUACUUGGCUGACGAGGACGCACCUCACCAGUAUCAGAGCAACAGCUGUGGGGUGUUUAUGCUGAUGGUGAGAUGCAUUAUUUUCAGAAAUGAUGACUAGUUUGCAAAACAACUAACUCAUUUGUAUGUUAAUUUCAGUACGCAAUGUAUUCUACCCUCAAAAGCAAUAUGAUUUCGGUGAGGUGAGUUCUUUCAAAUCUCAAUCAGAUGUGUAGCAUGAAAUAUAAGGCUUUUAAUAAUUUAGUCAUCCUUACUGGAGGCUACAAUUAACAUGCAUCAUAGGUCAUACACAUUACUUUGUCUUCAGGUACUGCACUUACGGGAGGAGAUGGCUACAUCUUCACAAUAAUUUACACUGCCAUAGUACACUGCUAAACAGUACUGUAACAUGGAUUUGUAUUAGGCUAUGAAGUCAUUUAAAGUAUAACUUUACUUUUCAGGGGGACAUGCUCUCUAUCAGGAGGUGGUGGUUGGACUGCUGUUGGAGACCUUUAUGCUUGAAAGCCCUGCAGAACUAGCUGGCUCCUUCUCACCCUCUCCAUCUCCCCAUCUCAGUCACACCUUCCAAUCACUAAGCAGUGAAAGCCCUGCAGGACUAGCUGGCACACCAAGCUCACCCUCUCCAUCUCCCCAUCUCAGCCACACGCUCCAAUCUGGCACAACAGAGGACAGGCCAUUCUUACCACCCGAAGUCCUUCAGCAAAUUGUACAAGAGACGCUGAGACUGGACAUGGCGAUGCUUGGCGUGUUCAACAGGGUUUCAAACACAUUCCGAGAACUAAUCAAGCCUCUCCAUCCUUCAAUAUAUAAAUGACAGUUUGGCAGGGGACAUUAAGCUUAAUAAAGACAAUCUCAUAUACAUAACGGUUAGAAAGAUUUACAACAAUGCAGGCUGUGGCAGUGGCCUUGCGCUACGCCUCAAAGGCUUCUUAAAAAAGAAGAAUUGGCCAAGCGCACCCCUGGUACUGAGGCACGUUGCAUAUGGCAGGUUUGUCAUAAAAGAUGUCUGCAUAGCAUAAUGUUAUUUUAUUACUCCUUUUUCGUUUUAUUUGGGACGUCAUUUUUGCAAUCCCUUUCAUUUGUAAAUGUACAUACUACUGUAGUAAAUGUAUCUGCCCAGAAAUGCUGGUAUUUUAUUACUCCUUUCUUUUUUGUUUUUGUGACAAAUGCUAUACGAUGUAUAACAUACAUUUGUGCCUACGAUGUAUGUUGUAAGGUUAAUUGUUACAGAGCAAUUACUGUAUUUUGUCUUUAUUGAAAACAUUCAGUGGGAAAAGUAAGUGAACACUUGGAGUCAAAUGGCCCACUGUUUGAGCCUUCAUAGUGUCUGGUAACUGGAUUUGAACUGCAUAAGGUCCCAAGUGUUAUUUUAAUCUAUUCAUUAUUUAAUUUGGGCAUAUUCUUAAACAACUAUAUCAAACAUCUCACUUAUACCUAAUACCCUACCUAUACUAACCCAGAAGAUAAUGAGCAUGAGAUCAUGGAGCCUCCCUGUAAUGAUCGUGUUGCAUCAAGUUUGAUGCAAAGUUUGGGCCGAGAUCCGACACAUAAAUGUAAGUUAACAUUCUGUAGGCCUAGCUGGCUAACGUACCCGUAUUACGAGAUCGAAGAAGGGGACGCUAACGUCAGUUCUUUGCUGCCCAUACUACUAGAUCGACGAAGAAGAACGGGGCGUUCCAGCCUGCGUAAACGAGAACGCCCACCACACGAGAACGCCGGGGGGGCGUUUUAGUCUGCGUGAACGGGAACGCCCACGACACGGGAACGCCCAUUUGUGUCUGCAGUCGGAUGACAUUGCCCUCCCCCGCUCCCCGCGUGUGUCCCCUUCGUGCACGUACUCAAAGCUUGUGACCCAGUGCAAGCUUCUGUUUGUUGUUAUCCUGCGGUAGCUACUGGAGCUAGCUAACUAGGUAAUGGCUCGCUCUCAUCUG
ensembl:lncRNA